UGGCGGCAGCCCUAACUUAUGCAAGUCGAACGGAUCCUUCGGGAUUAGUGGCGGACGGGUGAUAUGGGAACGUGCCCUUUGGUUCGGAACAACUCAGGGAAACUUGAGCUAAUACCGGAUGUGCCCUUCGGGGGAAAGAUUUAUCGCCAUUGGAGCGGCCCGCGUCUGAUUAGCUAGUUGGUGGGGUAAAGGCCCACCAAGUGCGACGAUCAGUAGCUGGUCUGAGAGGAUGAUCAGCCACAUUGGGACUGAGACACGGCCCAAACUCCUACGGGAGGCAGCAGUGGGGAAUCUUGCGCAAUGGGCGAAAGCCUGACGCAGCCAUGCCGCGUGAAUGAUGAAGGUCUUAGGAUUGUAAAAUUCUAUCACCGGGGACGAUAAUGACGGUACCCGGAGAAGAAGCCCGGCUAACUUCGUGCCAGCAGCCGCGGUAAUACGAAGGGGGCUACCGUUGCUCCGAAUACUGGGCGUAACGGGAGCGUAUGCGGACUGUAAGUAGACGUGAAGCCCAGCUCACCCUGAAUGCUUGAUACUGACCCUUGAUACAGAAACGUUAUGA
rnacentral:rRNA from 1 species